CCCUUGCUAAGGGGAGCAUCAGACAUCCCUAGGCUUACAAGUCCCUGGUGUAAUAAGGUGAACUAUGGAAAGCUAUGAUUUGAGGAAAGUUCCCUCUGACUGAAAGAGUUCUUCAAAUAUGAAGAAUGUAACACUUAUGGGGCACCUACUCAUUGCAAAACACUCUACUAGGGGCUUUCACCUGUAUGUUUAACUCAUUUUGUUGAUUUUUUUUUUUUAAGCCCGAAUUUCUGAGAGGUUAAGGAACUUGUCUGAUGUCCCACAGCUGGUGGUGGCGUCUCUGGGAUUCUGACUUUUCCACUGACCAUAACAUGCAUCUGGUCUAAAUUGAGCAGACCACCCAGGAGGAUGUUGGAGUAAAAAGAAAUGAGAAGGGGGUGGGGAGAGGAAUGGGCAUAGAAUAAAAAGGUAGAAACCCUUGGGAUCAAAGGAUGCAACUGAAAGAGCACCAAAAUAUGCAUCAUUUUUUUUUUAUAUGUUGCCUGCUACCCAAAAUUGGGAUGCCUCUGUGGUAUCAACUUUGACAUUUAAAGAAAGGGCAUAAGAUUAGAUCAUUCAACCAUAAGUGGAAGGAAGAAACAAAAUAAAAUAAAACCUUAGAAUUCCCUUUGAAGUUGAUCAGGUGUCAAGGCAGUGAUUUGAUUUUCUUUUACAAACUUUCUUUUUCCAGAAAAAUUUUUACUGUGGGUUUGGAGAGGUGUUUACAAUAAAUUCAUAGCAGAGCUCCAAAAGGGCCCACUCCAUCUAAACUCCUCUGUCUCAGCAGAUUAUUGAAGAAGAUUGGAUUAAAAGGCUUGAAGCGACAGUGCAUGGCCAGAACCAGCCAGACCUUUGGAGUUCAAGAACUCGAGAGGUGGGUGAAAACUGCCAUUGCCUCCACAGACUGUCUUCUCCCUUGGAGCUGUAAGAAAACCUGAGUCACCAGGGCUGGGAAACCUGCACCACUGAGACGAGCACAGCCUCUGCCAGCAUGCAAGUGGCCGCUGUCAGGACACAUGGACUGAAAGUGGUUUGUCAGCUGCUCCAUUAGGUUUUUUUUACCCAUAUGUUUGCUACCUUUCUUUCCUUGAUUUAAAAAUAGGGAGGGGGAGCAGUCUCAGCUGUCUUCAGCUGCUAGGGAGAUUUUUUUCCCCUCCUGAGCUACUGUUUCCCCCAACCCGAGCCUUUCUCUCUUAUUGUACCCACCCUUUCUGAUGAAGUCAUCAAAGCAAAGAUUGCAUAACUGAUGCAUAGGCCUAUCUUGUGUUAUACUGGGAGACAGGCCAAUGUUUCCAUUAAUAGACAAGAGCACCACCACGCUGCCAAAUGGAGCUCUCUGCUGCAACCACUACAAGACAGGAAGAAGGGAAGGGAAGCUGAGUGCUCAGGGAAGGCUGUGGAGGGAAGGCAAGGGCACUUCCGCCAUCAUCUCCAGAACCACCACAGCCUUGGGAGGGGGGCUGAGAGAGAUCAGUGCUGACUGCCUGAGACGAUCCCGUCCACGGUGUCCCCAUGUUCUUCCUUCCUUCCAGAGGCUGUGAGAGGGAGGGCCCAUGUCAGCCUGCUCUGCCGGUUUCCCGACUGCUAAACCUGUCUGUGGGAAGCCGGGUUUGACCAUGUGAUGCUGAGGCUCUGAGAGGAGGGCUGCCCUUUUCCCCACCCUCGGCCCCCAUUCCUAUGAGUAGAAGCCUGCCCAGCUGCGGUGGUGGGGUCUGAGGAGGCUAGGACUUAGAGCAGGGAAAAACACAAGGAAGCAGAAAGAAAAACAGAAACACUUAGAAAUCUGGGAUUGGUACUUCUCCUUAUGUAAAGAUUGUGGCUGACGACCAGCUUCUUAGAGGAAGCAAGUCUAGGAGAAGGGCUCAUACCUGGUCCGUGAUGGCCUAUGGGGGAUCAGGGCAUAAGACCACCUGACCCUGGGCCUUGCAUCCGCAAGAACCUUGAGUUUAGAUUUUUAGACAUAUUCUUCAAACAAGGUUUUACAUAUACAGUCACUGAGAAAUCCUGAGAGGAUUGAAAAAUAGCAUCUAUUUUACAGCUUUAAAUUGUGCCCUGAGCUGAGCGUGGUGGCUCACUCCUGUAAUCCCAGCACUUUGGGAGGCUGAGGUAGGAGGACUGCUUGAGUUCAGUUCAGGACCAUCCUGGGCAACAGCAAGACCUCAUCUCUACUAAAAAUAAAAAAAUCAGCUGGGCAUGGUGGUGUGCACCUGUAGUCCCAGUUACUCAGGAGGCUGAGGUGGGAGGAUCGCUUGAGCCUGGGAGGUUGAGGCUGCAGUGAGCUGUGAUUGUGCCACUGCACUCCAGCCUGGGUGACAGAGUGAGACAAUUCUGCCCUGUUAUUAGAUCGGGCUGCUCUAAGUCCAUUAUCAAUCAACAUUCUUUAUACGUCCUGUGUUUAUUUUGUGCACAGUGUAAUUGCCCUAUGCUGUAUUUUUAAAAAUAAAAACAUUGCAUUUAAAAAAA